rnacentral:tRNA from 1 species
GCUCCAUUAGCUCAACUGAAUAGAGCAAGGGAAUUCUAAUCCCUGGGCUGCAGGUUUGAGUCCUGCAUGGAGCA